AAAGUCGUAACAAGGUUUCCGUAGGUGAACCUGCGGAAGGAUCAUUAUCGAAUGAAUGUAGAGUUGGUUGUCGCUGGCCUCUUCACCGGGGCAUGUGCACGCCUUCUCUUUCAUCCACACACACCUGUGCACUUGUGAGACGGAGGUCUUUCUCUUUCACGGGAGGAGGGUUUCCGUCUGCCAAUACAUAAACUCAUAUAUCUUAAACUGAAUGUAAUUGAUGUAACGCAUCUAUAAACUAAGUUUCAACAACGGAUCUCUUGGCUCUC
rnacentral:misc_RNA from 1 species